UACGAAGGGGGCUAGCGUUGCUCGGAAUCACUGGGCGUAAAGGGUGCGUAGGCGGGUCUUUAAGUCAGGGGGGAAAUCCUGGAGCUCAACUCCAGAACUGCCUUUGAUACUGAGGAUCUUGAGUUCGGGAGAGGUGAGUGGAACUGCGAGUGUAGAGGUGAAAUUCGUAGAUAUUCGCAAGAACACCAGUGGCGAAGGCGGCUCACUGGCCUGAUACUGACGCUGAGGCACGAAAGCGUGGGGAGCAAACAGG
rnacentral:rRNA from 1 species